rnacentral:tRNA from 1 species
AAAGCUUUAAGUUAAUUAAACUAUUAACCUUCAAAGUUAAAUAUAUGAAAAUAUAUCAUAAGCUUUA